rnacentral:rRNA from 1 species
UCAGGAUGAACGCUAGCGGCAGGCCUAAUACAUGCAAGUCGAACGAGAUUAUCCAGCUUGCUGGAUAUGAAAGUGGCGCACGGGUGCGUAACGCGUGAGCAACCUACCUCUGUCAGGGGGAUAGCCCGGCGAAAGUCGGAUUAACACCGCAUGACAUUAUUGAUGUGGCAUCACAUUAUAAUCAAAUAUUUAUAGGACAGAGAUGGGCUCGCGUGACAUUAGCUAGUUGGAGAGGUAACGGCUCACCAAGGCAACGAUGUCUAGGGGCUCUGAGAGGAGAAUCCCCCACACUGGUACUGAGACACGGACCAGACUCCUACGGGAGGCAGCAGUAAGGAAUAUUGGUCAAUGGAGGGAACUCUGAACCAGCCAUGCCGCGUGCAGGAUGACUGCCCUAUGGGUUGUAAACUGCUUUUGUCGGGGAAUAAACCUACGUUUGCGAACGUAGCUGAAUGUACCCGAAGAAUAAGGAUCGGCUAACUCCGUGCCAGCAGCCGCGGUAAUACGGAGGAUCCAAGCGUUAUCCGGAUUUAUUGGGUUUAAAGGGUGCGUAGGCGGUUCUUUAAGUCAGAGGUGAAAGACGGCAGCUUAACUGUCGCAGUGCCUUUGAUACUGAAGAACUUGAAUUGGGUUGAGGAAUGCGGAAUGAGACAAGUAGCGGUGAAAUGCAUAGAUAUGUCUCAGAACCCCGAUUGCGAAGGCAGCAUUCCAAGCCUAU